UAGUGAAUACAACUUAACCUCAAAC
rnacentral:piRNA from 1 species